UACAUCUCACGACCGAUCUAACGACAGCCAUGCACCACCUGUGUCCAGGCUCCCGAAGGCACGCUCGCCUCUCAGCAAGCUUCCUGGCAUGUCAAGGGUAGGUAAGGUUUUUCGCGUUGCAUCGAAUUAAUCCACAUCAUCCACCGCUUGUGCGGGUCCCCGUCAAUUCCUUUGAGUUUUAACCUUGCGGCCGUACUCCCCAGGCGGUCGACUUCACGCGUUAGCUGCGUCACUCAGUGCAUUGCUGCUCCGAAC
rnacentral:rRNA from 1 species